rnacentral:ncRNA from 1 species
AAAAGGCAUGGUCCCGACCUUACUAUCAGCUGUAACACAAUUUACACAUGCAAGUCUCCGCCACCCAGUGAGUAUGCCCUCAGUCCCCCGCCCGGAGACGAGGAGCGGGCAUCAGGCACAAUCGUUAGCCCAAGACGGUAGCCAAGCCACACCCCCCUGGGAAUUCAGCAGAGAUUAACAUUAAGCCAUAAGUGAAGGCUUGACUCAGUUAGUGUUAAUAGGGCCGGUAAAACUCGUGCCAGCUACCGCGGUUAGACGGGAGGCCCUAGUUGAUAUUACAACGGCGUAAAGGGUGGUUAAGGACAAACAAAUUUUUAAAGCCAAAGGGCCCCUUGGCCGUCAUACGCUCCUGGAAGCCCGAAGCCCAAUACACGAAAGUAGCUUUAAUAAAAACCUACCUCACCCCACACAAGCUGAGUUAACAAACUGGGAUUAGAUACCCCACUAUGCUCACCCGUAAACCAAGACAUCCGCCUACAAUUACAUGUCCGCCAGGGUUCUACGAGCAACAGCUUAAAACCCAAAGGACCAGACGGUGUCUUAGACCCCGCUAGAGGCGCCUGUUCUCGAACCGAUAACCCUGGUUCAACCUCACCACUCAUAGCCACCCCUGCCUAUUACCGCCGUCGUCAGCUUACCCUGUGAAGGAGUAAAAGUAAGCAAAAUGGGCACAACCCAGAACGUCAGGUCGAGGUGUAGCGCAUGAAGUGGGAAGAAAUGGGCUACAAUUUCUAUCACAGAACAUUACCGACACGCACCAUGAUAACAGUGCAUGAAGGCGGAUUCAGUAGUAAUAAGGAAUCAGAGAGUCCCUUCGAACCGGGCUCUGAGACGCGUACACACCGCCCGUCACCCUCCCCGUCAUAAACACACCAAAAAUACCUAAUACAACAACAAUAACAAGGGGAGGCAAGUCGUAACAUGGUAAGUGUACCGGAAGGUGCACUUGGAUCAAACC